CUUUCCGGCCCUUGCGCGCCCCUCUCGAGAUCCCUGCCGCGGCCCCAUCGGAGAGGCUGCGGCGGCUGUGGGCUGUCCGAGCCCCCCUUGGCUUCCCCCCGUUGCAUUUCCCUCGGUUGAAAGGAAGGCGCGGGAGCUUGGUUUGCAACGGAAAGGGAGUCUCUUCCUCCGCCUCGUCUCGGGGGCUUCUCCCCUGUCCUCCCUCCUCACUGAGGGACAGUCGCUUGGCUCGGUUAUUUCUUUGGCAGGGACACAGCUUUCAGAUUGUGGCGCCUUCAGAAGGAGCGUCUGGAGAAAGAGGAGAUUCGCGCCCAGGAAGCUCUCGCCCUCCUGGAGAAAAAGAGGCUGGUGAGCGCGUUUGAGGCCUGGCGUUCCCGCUACAGGGCAGCCCGGCGGAUCCUGCCAUUGGUGGCUCAGGUGCAGAGAGGGCUGCUGAGCCGCUGUUUCCAGGCCUGGAAGUCUGUCACCGACCGGGCGGCGCUAUGCAGGCAUGGCAGGGAACGCCUGCGACUCGAAUCCCUGAGGGUGCAUUUCCAUCAAUGGGCCCUGAUGUUGCAAGUCCGGGAAAAGGCCAAGAAGACUCUGCUGGAGCUGUGGGCCUUGAAGUGGAGGCGAGCCCACGGUGAGAACCGUAUCAAAGUCA